UGAGCACGUGUGCAAAUGCACAUGGGUGUGCAGGGCCCGUAUUGCUCGGUGUUCUGGGGUCUGGCUCUGCAGCAGGAGUGUCUGAGAAACCAGGCCAACCUGCAGUCUGUGUUCUCAGCCACGCCGGGAGGAAAGCUCUGGAAAAGAAGACCACACUGUGGGUUAAGGACCACAUCGUUCCGAGUGUCCUCCACAAAUCUCUUCUGGGUGUGGGAAAGCGUGCUGAUGCCCAGGCCCCCCACCCAGACUUGCUGGAUCGCCCCAAAGUCUGAGAGCAAAUGUGUUGUCAGGUGUUACUGUCCUCAGGAGUGUCUGCAUUUUAAGGAUGGAAGCGGGGUGGGCAGAGGGCAAUGGCCUAACCCACUCGGAAGGAAUCAUUGCAGCAGGCUUCAGGCAUGGGGCGGGGCGGAAAUUUGGGAACAGAAGUGUUUCUUGAGCCUCUGAAAUCACUCCAUCGGAGGACCGCGUCUGUCUGCUACAGAGCUCUGGACCCUCGGGAGCAGGGGACAGCUUGGUAGGCAUCGGUGCAGGAUGGAGCUGACUCCCUGGACUUUGCCGGCCCUUCCUCUGCCCCAGCUCGUCCUCCGGCCGUGGGAUGCUCGGGAUGCUCGAUGAUGCGCGCAGGUGCGUGCAGGUUUCUCCUCUAGAAAAGAAGCCUGUGUGAUCCACAGAGAUGCUGCUUACCGACAUAGUAGGGUGACGGAUCUCUACGGCCCAAGCUGUAGAAAUGGCAGCCAUGGAAGCAGUCCACGCAGCUCUCCUUCCAAGGGAAGCAGCUCUGCACAGAGAGUCCCCGGGAAGCCUCCAGCUUUUCACCUUGGAUCAAAUGCAGCUUUCAUUCUGAGAACUUGCUCUCCACGGGUUGCUCCUAGCCAGUGGCCAAGCACAGCAAGGAGAUGAGAGCUGGGCCAUCGUGGGACGCCUGUCAUGGGUGGUCUUUGCACGGGGGCUCCCUGUUGGCCUGGCUGAGAUGUUAUCAGAGUUUCUCUGCCAUUGAAACCUCCCCCUAUUCAGUUUUCCUCUCUUCCCUUUCCUUGCACAGCUGUCAGCUCUGCACAGGGGUCUGAAGGCUCUCCCUGCUCACUCCGGCUCCCUCUCUCCUGUACCCUUUAUAAACACUUCCCUUCUGCAUGUUUUAUUCUGGUUGGCAUCGACUUCCCAGAGGACCCAAAGUAGUACAGGAGGCCUCAGAAAAAA